rnacentral:lncRNA from 1 species
AUCAUAAGCCAUCAUUUAUGGCUAUGCAUAUUCAAAUUAAAUCACAACUCAUUAUAGGCCAAUACACUUGGCCCUAAUAGUAAUGACUAAUAUAACAUAAGACAUAAUUCCUAUACAUGCCAUAAACUAAAGUACUUGAAUACUUAUACCCCAGAUGGUAGCUUGAUAGUGUGAUAGCAUCUCCGGCAAUUCCAACCCGAGAUAGCUAAAUAACCUAUAAAAGAUGGAAAGGAAGGGGAGUAAGCUUAAAGCCUAGUAAGUUCAUAUGAAAACAAUAAGCAAUUUAUUUACAUGCUUUUUCCAAAUUCUUAUAACAUGUUCUCAAGGUAUCACAAUCAUAUUUGCAAAUUAUUCCACUAUUUGCUCAAAUUCCAGUUAAGCUGUCUACUUGAGUCGCAGUCACUAAAUUAUUUAUAUCUUAAGAUAAAGAACUCAAAAUUAAGUUCUGAAAAUUUUUCCUAAAACUAGACUCACAUAUCUCCAUACCAUAAAAUUUUCAUAAUUUUUGGUUUAGCCAAUUAGUACAGUUUAUUCUUAAAAAUCACCCCUAUUUUUCUGUUUGACAGUUCCGACCCUUCUUCACUAAAAAUUAAUUAGCUCCUCAUACAGGAUCCAUAUGAUGUUCCCAUUUGUUUCUUGUUAAACUAGACUCAUUAAGGAUUAUAAGAAUAUAAAGUAUAACCCAUAAUUAUUUUUGUAAAGUUUUUUAUGAUUUUCCCAAAUCAGAACAGGGGAUGUCAAAAACAUUCUGACUCUGUCUCACGAAAAUUCAAAUAUCUCAUAAUCUGAUAUUCUUUUUCUUACACUGUUUCUUCUAUGUGAAACUAGGCUCAAUAAUCUUUAAUUUCAUAUUUUAUUCAGCCUCAAGUUCAAUUUCCAAAAUUUUUUGUGAAUUUUCAAAGUUGGACUACAGCUACUGUCCAAAACAGUUUUAGUAUAAAAAUGAUGAUAACUAAGUUCAUCACACAUUCAUUCUUUUAAAUUAGAAAUCUAUGCAUUUAUAAACAUAUGUCAUAGUCCACCAAAUUAAUACAACAUCAUUUCACAAUACUCAUGGACUUAUCAUUCAUGGAUUUCAUAUUCAUUAAGUUUCUGUACAUACCUGUACUCAUUCGUAACAUAACUUAAGUUCGUUCUUUUCAAUGACAUACCUCAUUGGGACCAUCAUCAAAUCCUUCCUUGAAUUACCCCUUGAACACUCGGAAUAUUAAUGGAUACACAGAAACUUGCACAUAGUGCCAUAUACGCAGUUAGAACCAACUCAUAGAGCGUAACGUAUGUAGCUAAAGCUACCAUAUAUUUUGUAAUGCCCGCAUUUGAGCUACUCACGGGUCUAUACACAAAGUCAGCACCCGGACCCUAAAGCAUUAUCAUGUAAUACCCGCUCAUUGAGCUGCUUACAGGUUUAUACACAAAGUCAGUACCCGAACCCCAAAGCAUUAACAUGAUAUGCUCUCUCAGCGAGUUACUCACGGGUUUAUACACAAAGUCUGUACUCGGACCCACAUUACAUGUAUCACUUAUCUCAUGAACUCAGACACAACUCAUGAGUUCAGACCACAUUAUUUCUCAUGACAUAUCUCGUGUAUCCUAUACUAUUCCUGAGGUUCAAAUGGGAUUUCUUGUCUAGCUCAAUGUCGUCACACUUGCUCAUAAUGUCAUUUAUUCUUCCAUCAUACAUUUCAUACUUUCAUGAUAGUAAUAAAACAUUUAAAUGCACAUAUUAUCAAAGCAUUAAAAUAUGCUACAACAUCACAUUUUUUUCUUAUGUACUUACUUGUCGAAUCUUCAUCAAGAAUAUCCGUAUAAUCAAUCAUACAAUUUAUAUAAUAAUAACAACAAAGCAUUUAAUAUUCAAUUAUAACGUUGCAUUAUUAUAAUCACACGAACUUACCUUGACACAAAAUCGGCAAUUGGACAUAACCGUCAUAUUCUUUGAUUUCCCUCAUUCUAAGUCUGAAUCUUAUUUUUCUUAAUCUAAAAUAUCACAUUUAGUCUAAUUAUUAGUCACAUUAUUCAAUGCGAUCCAAAAAUCAUAUUUUAGAAAAAUUAUAUUUUUGCCCCUAAACUUUGUCAUAAUUACACUUUUGCCCUUAGGCUCAUAAAAUGAAAUGCAUUCAAUUUAUUUGUACUUUAAGCCCAGCCGAAUCAUUUUCAUAACUAUAGUAAACUAAAAUUUUCAUCAAAACACACUUUUAUACCAUUUUAACAACUUUUACAAAAUGGUUGUUUCGGACGUUUUCAUCGAAAAUCACUUAGUAAAAGUCAUUUAUUUAACAAUAAGGAUGCAUUUUCCAUCAGCAAGCACCAAAAUACACAUAUAUUCAUCAAUGGAAAAAUUUAAAAACUUUAACAGUUUUGAAAACGAAGGUACCAGAUAGCUAAAUUAAGUUACCACGACUCCAAAAACGUAGAAAUAAUUAAAAACGGGACAAAAACUAUACUUAGGUGAGCCAUAGAAGCUUGGCCGAAUGUUUGCUCAUCCAUGGCUGCCCAUUUU